UUUGCCUUUUAUAGCCCUGAGCCUCCCAGGCCUAAAGCAGAUGGAGCGGUUGCCUCCUGCAAAGCAUUCAUUGCUCAUUGCUUCCAAAUCCAAGGAACAGGCACCUCGGAUCACUGUGCUGUGAGGGCAGGAGGAUCCUUCUUUUGGAAAGCGGACUACCUGAUCUAUCGGUGUCCCAUGGAACCACACUGCCCCCUGCGGUCAGAACCACCCGGGAUGCAGAACAGCAAGGACCGCAAACUUGGGUGCAGAGGGCUUUCCUCCACGCAACCCAGGAAGCUCCGUGAUUGGCAAACUGCUCUGUCAGGAUCCAUCGAAUCAGCAAACAUAGGUGCCUGUAGGAUGCAAACCAGGAAACAGGACUGUUAUGUGGCUUGCUGGUAGCCAAGCAAAAUGCUCCGAUCCAUUAGGCUGGUGAGAGGCAGCUGAAUGAGACCCAGCCUCGUGUUUUGUGGGAUGAAGAGAUGCGGACAAAGUGACUCAGGACCAGAAGGCCCCCUCAGUGCCAUCUGAGGACACCGCGGUAGUGCCUAUUAAGUAACACCCAGACAAGGCGUGGCCCUUCAACCGUCUUAUGAAAUGAGAAACCACCACACCGGCCAUGAGGCCAUUCACAUACACAUGUGCAGGGUGGAUGAGGAAAGGAUAGAUGAGAAACUGGGACCACACCAGGUGAUAACUGAGAACCAAACUCCCCAAAGCUCCCAGCACUGGACGACUCCAGAAAGGGUCUGAGCACCACAGGCUCUAAGAUGGAGUGACUGCUAGAGACAGGUAAAGAAGAGCUUUUCAGUCUUCCUUAGAUUGUCCUUAAGGGCUGUUGCCUGUAUUGGCUUAUUUUUAAUGCUCAUGAAGCAUGUCCCCAGGGACAUGCCAGCUGAGGUUUGGAAUUUUCUUCUAAAAGUGGUUAAGGCUUCAUUAAACCUCUCGUAUUUCUUGUCCAGCGCCCCCUCAGAGUCGAAGGCUUGUGCUUGAGGGUUCGCCAUCAGAAAGUUGAGAGUUCUUCUCAUUCAAAGUUAACUGCCCCAUCUGGUCUGUGAACUAAAGUAACCAAUGCAAACUAUGAGGGCUUGCACAGGACAGGAAGGGAACCAAUUAAUAUUUGACAGGUAAUCACCAUGUGCCUAUUCACCAAAGGGGUUUAUGAGGUCAGAAAUCUUUAGCCCACUUUUCUGAUGUGAAACCGAGGCUAAGAAACCUAAGAUUUUGUAGCUAGCAAGUUAUACAGCUGGGAUCUGCACAUAGGUCCAUCUAGCCCCAGGGAACUCCCGAGUCAUUUAUAAGGGGCUCAAAUACAACACUGCAGCAUCCAGUUAAAUCGGUAAUGAUGGGAACAAGAGUACAAGAGUGAUGCUGCAUUCUGUGUAAAUCCUUAGGACCUAACAAAGCACUGUCAUAGCCAUUCUCCUAUUUGACCCUCAUAAGAGUCAGUGUGGAUGGCUCUAUCCCCAUUUUACAGAUGAAGCCCCUGAAAAGUUUUGAGUGAUUUAUAUAAGAUUAUGCACCUAAUAAAUGGCAGAAGCAGGACUUGAACCAGGUCUCUCUUAACUCAGGAUGUUUUCCUCAGAAGCGUCCCCCAGACCCAGAAAUCACAUAUUCACAAACACGCAGCUCCUCAAUUUUUCCCUGGGUUUAUCCCAGGUAUCAAAUAAAGGUGAGGGAGGUGGGUCAGAGAGGGACUCAAGAGGGCCAAAAAACAGAAAUGCACUUUAGGCCUUUCACAAUAAAACAAGAAUUCUGAGCUUUGGUAGAACUAUUCAAACAUUUCUGCCAUUUAUGUGAUUUGCUUCAUGACUGAUGUAAACAUACUUUCAGCAAUACAGACAAUCUGCAUUUUAACACUUACAAUAAAAAAAAUCUCAAAAACUGGAAACAAAAUGUCCAAAGUAUAGGGAAAUUCUGGCAUAAUCAGUUGAUGUAAUAUCAUGCAAUCAUUAAAAAUGGAACUCAUGAAGAAUGGGCCAGCUAGCUUUGCAUAGAGAAGUUAAUGAAGCCUUAUCUUCAAGGAAAAAAAUACAUAUGAUAAAAUGUUAAGUGAAAAGAAAGCAGAAUGUAUCUCGCCAUGAUUACAACUGGACAAAAUUAAAGCAAUGAUAACGUUUGAUAUAUGAAGAUGUUGGGGCUGUGUGAUUGCUUUAAUUAUAAAAAUAUUUUAAACAAUAAAAGAAAUGCUUAAAACAAUCAGGAAAAUAUAUCUGCUCUGAGAAGGACCUGAUCGUUACCUUCCUAACAUGUUCUCUAGGCUCUGGGAAACAGCAACAGUCUCAUAUAAUUUCAGUCCUUUUACUCCCUUCUGUAGCAGACAUUGGCUGAAGGCCUCCUCUGAAGCAGGUACCGAGUUAGUAACAUAUAAGAGAGGCACAGAUGAAGAUGUGUCUGCAUCAUCUAAGAGGCUCACAACCUGCUCACAGACAGACCUGGCAGUGGUACCAUGUGAUGGGAACCUGAGUGGUCUGGCUAGGAGCUCUCAAAGGACAGAGGAGGGAUAAACUGCCCAAACCCUGGGAGUCAGGGAGGGCUUCCCAGAACAGGGGACUUUGAAGAUGAGUCACAAAGGACAAGUAGGGGUCUGCUGGGUUCGGCCGGUGAGGAGCAGGGCCCCAGGGCAUGAGACCAGAAGGCACACGAGGAGAAUGGCAGCUUGGUGGGGCAGCAGUGGAGGAUGCAUGGACGCACGCAGUAGAUGAGGCUGGAACGUGGACAGAGCUGGCUGAUGGAAGGCCUGGUGGGGCAUGCCAAGGAAGUGAGGCUUGUCCCCUCUGGUGACACUUACCCGCUCCAACAGGAGUAUUUUCCCACCAGCAUCAGUGACCAUUACCUGUAGCCGCCUCAUGGCCUCUGAAUCCUGGUCGGCCUUCACCUUGCAGGCCACCAGCAGCUGAGCCGUGGAAGCGGCGACCUGCUUGGCAGAUGAGAUGAGCUUCUCCUCGCUGGCAUGUCCCUGAACGGAGGCAUUGGCCGCCUCACAGAGACUGCUGGUCGCAGCCGCCACCAUCCGGGCCUGGAGACAAUCAACAGAGAAGUGACCCAAGGCCCAAACCUCCCUCAGGGGACCCCAAAAGCAAACUGGGAGGAAGGAGAAGGCAACUCACAGCAGAAAUCAGCCCCUGUGACCACUGUCCGUCGUCGGCAGCAUUGGCAGGGAUGGAGCCCACCUAGAGUAGAGUCAAGAAACCGGCCAUAAGGGUAGGUAGCCCCAGUGGUCGCAGCCCCUCAUCCCCACACCUUGCUCGGGAACCAGACUUGCACCCCGCUUGGUGCCUCCUGCCAACAGCACAGGCCUGGGAAUGGAGCAACCUUUCUCACGCAGGACUCAGGCCAUGCCAAGAUUGCAUAGCACAUCCUGGCAGGUUUCGCCACCAAGAGGCAACAGGAAAUGCUAAGAAUGGCUCCACUUAGCUGCCAGGUACUGCAUUUCUGGGAAACAGCUCAGGAACGAUGGCCUGGGGCUGUCUUUCUACACUUACUUCUCUGCUGAGCUUUCUCCAUUUCAAAUGUGGGAGCCACUAGGCCUCCUCUUUUCAAGGGCUAAGAGAAAUUUAAAUCUCUCCUGAUUACUGACCCUGAAAACCACACUGCGUUUCUGGCAGAUGAUGUUAAAAAAAAGCGUGGUGGAACUCCCUCUGGUACAAUUGAGUGCAGACCCUUGUCUUAAGGAAAUACCAUUUUGUCAGGGGUGAGAGAGAAAUAAGAGGCUGGAAGAAAUAUGGAUCUCUGUUUCUACUUAGAAAUCAUGGCAACAAGUAGAACAUUUUCUGUCCACAACUAGAGGGAGAAGCGACAGGAGGAAAUACCUCCAAGCUUGUGGGAUGUGCCUGGUGAGGAUAUUCCGUUCAAUGACACAUUUGUGGUCUUUACAUGUUGACCAGCCAACAAGAACUUGCUGAGUACAGGACGGACAAGGUUGGCAUUCUGCUGGCUCUACAGGAGAUCAACGGGAAGGAUGGAGAGAACAGCUUGUGUGCCAGGUGGGGAGACAGACAUGGACCAAUACUGAACAACACACAACACUAUGGUUUAGAAAGAGAAUUCAAGGUAUGUGGACUGGACUAAGCCAUGACUAAGCUCACAAAAGACUUCCUGGAAGAAGAUGCACAGCCUAUAGUCAGGCACAACCUUCCUGUCUGUACCGUGAGUUCUUGGGUCAAGACACAACUCACCUCUACCUAUCUGUACGCUGAUGGCAAAGUCCUUUUAAUAUCAAACAGAAAUGAAUGACAAUGAUGGUGACCACAUUUCCCAAACCCACGACCAGUCAGGUUUCUGUGGGGCCUCUCCAUUUGAGAGGCUCUCUGAAAGCCAGUGUGGAUAGGAUGGUUCCAUGUGUAUGUAAAUAACAAGACAUAUGGAACAUGUUAAAUUGGAAGACUGUUCCAUAUCCAGAAUUACUAAUGUACUAAUAAUCCUUUGAAUCCUCAAAAAAAACACUAUACUUUUAUGCUAAAGUAGAUCGAAUGGGUGACUAGACAUAAAGCUGAAGAAAUUUCAGAUUUAAAAUCUGACUGGCCCUUUCACCAGCAGACUUAGGAAAGUGCUAACUGCAAAGCUGGCCAGUAUUCAGCUCGACAGUCCUAAAAACAAACGGAGCCCUUUGGAGCUGGAAAGUGGUAUCACAAAAGCUGCCGAAUGUGGUGCUUCUAGAGCGGCCCACCAGAAAAAUAUGACAGUUUACAUCUUUACAUAGCCUAAUGUACAGUGGGAAUAUAAAUGUCUCGUUCAGGCCCCAAUCACUGCCUGGAAUGGGAUGCUUUCCUUAACAAGAAGCAGAUGAGAGGCCCAGAAGCCAAACCUCUUAUUCUGUUGGUCUGAAGGCUGUAGUUUUCAGUCGGUCAGCACAGAGAGUGGCAAUUCAGGGAGGGAAGGCAUUGCAUGCGUUUCCUUGGUCAGGACAAAGGCUUGUAGCUCUUUUCCUGGGCCCUCGGAGGCUCUCGUACAUUGAGUGUCCCGCAUGUGGUCAGCGGCUUUACCCACCUUUCCUUGGGCCACCAGCUCCCUCUGGGCUGCCGAGGCCGAUUUGACCAGGGCGCUUGUGGCAGCAGCAAUGGAUUUAGCAGCUUCCAAGAUCUGUUCCUCAAAGUCCAGGGUCUCAUCCGCUUGCUAUAACCAAAACAAAACAGCAUCACAUGCAAUUCAUAUCCACAAAGGGCUCUUUCUUCCAAACUACUUACUGCCGGGUCACCUGGCUCUUCACCUGCCUAUUGUUUUUUGUUGACAAACCACACCUGAAAUGGGAUGGUUCCUUAACAAGAAGCAGAUAAGAGGUCCCCUGUGCAAACUUUCAGGACUGUAAGUCAAUUUGGUUAAGCCACCCUCAGGUCACACAGUGUUGAAGAUGUGGCUGGUACCUUUCAGGCAUUAAGAGACAAUGGCCAGGCACAGCAAUAGUUUUCUUUGUAUGUGUGGUACAAUAUAUGUAACACAAAAUUUACCCUUUUACCUAAUGUUAAGUAUUAAUACGCUGACACUGUUGUACAACAGCAAUACCAGGAUAGAAAGGUCAGGAUGCCUCUCCACCUGCAGCCCCUUCCCCCUAACUCCAAAAGGAAAAAGCUGUUAGCUUGACAUCCCACGGAAAUUUGCAGACAGACUCAUUUUCUGGAACAAAAUCUUUAAAGAUAUACAUUCACUGUGAAUAAAAUACACUCAAAUGGUUUUAGCAACAUCAAUAACCGAAACCAAAAUAAUAAAAUCAAAACAGUAGAUCAUAGCACUUACUCUCUUCCAGACUCUAAGCCUCAAAAAUGGACUUUAAAAAAAAAAGGAAAGAUGGCUACCAGUUCUGAAAAGUCGUCUUUUUCCUGGGUAAAAAUCAAAGCCAAACAGCACUGGCAUUUCUGUGGCUGAGCACUGAGAGAGUUAUAGACCAAGUACACAUUGCCCAGUGGUGAAAAAGAAACCAGGGCAACACGACAUUAAGGUGGAGCUUGUUCUGUCCCCCGGACACCCGAGGCAUGGGCUCCACCUUGGGAAGAACAUUGGACACCACUGUGUAGGUGUUAUCAGACCUUUAGGGUUCUGGUCUAAAUUCACCACCAUCUCCUUUGCUGCUAAAACAACUCAGGAAGUUGAAGAGAAGCUUUGGAGAAGUGUGACAAGUAUAAAGACUGUGGUCCCAGGCUCAUGGGUUGGAGCAUCGCAAUUUUGCCGGGUGUGGUCAGAUUAGACCUGUGUGAUAACAGUCCAUGACUCUAGGUCAAUUUGGUUAAGCUGCCCUCAGGUCACACAGUGUUGAAGAUGUGGGUGGUACCUUUCAGGCAUUGAGAGAUGAUGGCCAGGCCCAGUAAUACUUUUCUUUGUAUGUGUGGUAAAAUAUACGUAACACAAAACUUACCCUUUUAUCCAAUUUUAAGUGUACAAUUCAGUGGCAUUACGGACAUUCACACUUUGUGCCAACAGGAAUAGAUUUCUUUUUUUUUUUUUUCUUUUUCUUUUUAUUAUUAUUAUUAUUAUUAUUUCUUUAGGCUCUAUGGUACAUGUGCGCAACGUGCAGGUAAGUUACAUAUGUACACAUGGGCCAUGCUGGUGCGCUGCACCCACCAACUCGUCAUCUAGCAUUAGGUAUAUCUCCCAAUGCUAUCCCUCCCCCCUCCCCCCAUCCCACAACAGUCCCCGAAGUGUGAUGUUCCCCUUCCUGUGACCAUGUGUUCUCAUUGUUCAAUUCCCACCUAUGAGUGAGAAUAUGCGGUGUUUGGUUUUUGAUUUCUAAGAGUGCCUACUGUGUACCAACUAUUUUGUUAGGCACCUCUACAUACAUUGACUUAAUUCUCACAAAAAAAAAAAAAAAAAGAUCGUAUAUUGGAAUUAUCUUUAUCCUUAUUUUUACAGUGAGAAAACCCAGGCUCAGGAAGGUAGAUUAUUGGGCCAAGGUGAUGUGGCAGCAUGAAGCAUCUAAACCAGAAUCUAAACCUAAAUCUGACUCCAAAAUGAGGCACUUUAACUAGCCAAAGCCACCCCUUAGGGCAUCAAUGAGAAAUGGUUUGUGCCAGAGGUUCAAAGUCAGCUUGCUAACGCUCCCAUGUGAAACAUCAGACAGGAGGGAUACAAUUCUUCUCCACCUCUCCAUUCUUAAUGCCACAUCUUGAAACAUGAAAGGUGCUAAUCCUUUUUCUUUAUAACCUACAUUAUCAAAAUACAAUUUCAAUGCACUUCCAAUGGAUCUGAAAGUUCUGAGACAACAGACUUGUGCGUUCUUUUUUAUUGCUGACCAAGUCUUGCUCUAAGAGUAUUCAGGACAGAAAUGAAUUUAGUUCUACUGGACUCAUUUUGGAUUGGUGGAGUAUAGAAUUUGGUGCUGAAAUACAGAAAUGAUCCAUUGUAAGACACUCUUGCAUAAAAGGAACUCUUGUGUAGUCAGUCCCCAAAUAAAUUACAGUAGGCUCUAAUUUAUAUAUAUUAAAUAUAUAAAUAAUGUAUAUUUUAAUAACCUUGAGAUUAAGAGCUUUUCUGGCAAUUCAUUCUGCCAAAGAAUGUCAGGCACAUAACAGAUUAAAGCACUAGGGAAAUCACAGAAUUUUUGACUCCAAACUCCUCAUCUCAUUUUGCAAAUGAGGAAACAGAGGCUUGUGGGAGCUCUUCAUGGCAGCUCCUGAAGUCUCUCACGCUCUUGCCUCAGGUGGCCUCAGCUACACUAUGGGUUCCACGCCUGAGUCCACUUUACACUGUGGAAUACUCUGUCAGAUUUUUUAUUUCCCAAAUUUUAAGAUUUUCAAAAACAGAAUUUCCUUAAAAUUAAGUGCUAAGUCUUUAGCAGGGGUAAAUCUGAUAGGAUCAUCUCAUCACAACUGAUUUUAAGAGCCUCUCCCACAUCUUCCGCUGCCUGGGAGUUUUGUUGUUUUUUUUUUUAAACACAAGCUUGUAAUAGAUAUUCGACUUGGAAAUAUUUUUGACACCCACAGAUUUUUCUGGUAAUGGCAACUGUUGUAAUGCUCUUUGAUGAAUUUUUAUUUUUCUUUCCAUAACAUCUCUAUGCUUUAAAACAGACAUGGCAGAAGGCCUUAUCUCUGGGAGACAUUUGCUCUGAUAAGAAAGUAUUAGAGAUUCUCCCUAGAAAGGCUGACUGGGAUGGCACAGGGAUGGAGGGCUAAUGUUAGAUGCUACAGUUUGGGCAGAGUACCCUGAUGAAACCUGCCUUCUGACUGCUGCGUCCCUAUUUUCCUGUAUGCCAGGUUUAUGACUCAGAUGCACUGCCCACCCUAUCUCUACUGCUGAAAUCAGACACCAAUACUUAAUGUGUCCUCACACCAUACAACUUCUAGCCUUAGAGAAAAUGGGAUCUCUCCAAGCCAAGGAGAAUGGUCAAAAACCCAGGUGCCCCAUCAGUUCCAGCUCCCACCAGCAUGCAGAAUGGAAUAGGGGAGAAGGUAGGAAGGACACACACUUAACCAUAUCACAAGAAGGAGAGAAACGGAAUUGGCUUGGUCUUCAAAGGACUUUCCUAAAUAAAAGAAUCACAAUUCAAAUGCAGAAUUUGUUAAUGGAACAGUCCCCACUGCAGCUGAGAGACUGGGGAGACUAAGAAGAACAACGUGGUGCACAGUGACUCUGGGGAAGAAUCUGGAGGCUGGGCCCCUCUCACAGGGCUCUCAUUCGCACCUCUUCACCAGGGAGGCUCAAUUGGUUGGUGUCUUAAGGUCCUCUUUAGCUAAGAUGUUACUGACCUGACCAGGGUCAGUCAGAUCUGUCCUUCUGGUUUAUAAAGGGGAUAAUGGAAUCCUCGCUUCUGGGUUUUUCAUUCGUUCCGCAAUUGGAUCAUGUAAAGACUCACUAAAAUAAUCUUUUAAAGAUUAUGACUAAUCCUGUGCAUGUGGCUAUUUAUAUUUCUUUAUAACUACUGGCAUCAAGCUAAAGCAAGGAACUUAAGAGUUUCAUUAAACAGGAUAAAUUGAUUGAUAGUCUUUAGCCAUAAAAAAGAAUGAGAUCCUGCUGUUUGCAACCACAUGGCUAGAACUGGAGAUCUUUAAGUGAAAUAAGCCAGGCACAGAAAGACAAACAUUGUAUGUUCCCACUUAUUUGUGGGAUCCAAAAAUCAAAACAAUUGAACUCGUGGACAUAGUGAGUAGAAGGAUGGCUCCCAGAGGCUGGGAAGGGUAGUGAGGGGCUGGGAGGUAGGGGGAGGUGGGGUUGGUUCAUGGGUACAAAAAAAUAGUUAGAAUAAGACCCACUACAUGUGAUAGCACAACAUGGUGACUAUGGUCAAUAACUUAAUUGUACAUUUUCAAAUAAUUACAAUAGUGUAAUUGGAUUGUUUGUAACACAAAGGAUAAAUGCUUGAGAGGAUGGAUACCCCAUACUCCAUGAUGUGCUUAUUUCACAUUGCAUGCCUGAUAUUGUUUGGCUGUGUCCCCACCCAAAUCUCAUCUUGAAUUGUAGCUCCCAUAAUCCCCACAUGUCAUGGGAGGGACCUGGUGGGACGUAACUGAAUAAUGGGGGCAGGUCUUUCCUGUGCUGUUCUCAUGAUAGUGAAUGAGUCUCAUGAGAUCUGUUGGUUUUAUAAAGGGGAGUUCCCCUACACAAGCCCGCUUGCCUGCCACCAUAUAAGAUGUAUCUUGCUUCCCCUUCACUUUCCGCCAUGAUUGUGAGGACUCCCCAGCCAUGUGGAACUGUGAGUCAAUUAAACCUUUUCUUUAUGUAUCACCCAGUCCUGGGUAUGUCUAUAUUAGUUGCAUGAGAACAAGCUAAUACAAUGCCUGUAACAACACAUCUCAUGUAUCCCAUAAAUAUAUAUACCUACUAUGUACCCUCAAAAACCAAACAGAAAAAAAAUUUUAAAGAAAAAAAAAUAAAUAAAUGGAUAGCCCUCGCUGCAGAAUCACCUGAGGAUCUGGUUAAAGAUUCAGAUGCUGUUUUGGUAGGUCUGGGGUGGGAGCCAGGAAUCUGUAUUUCUUACAGAGGUGGUUACACACUACUCUGUAGGAAAUGCUGGCCUGGACUCAGGAAAACAAACACCACUUAACUUAAUCCUACCAGCCUGUGAUCCCCUCCAGGGUGAGACUGUGUUUUAUUCAACCUAUGUUUCUCUAGCACAAAAUCAGGCAGAGAAGCCCAUGUGAUGCUCAACAUUUGCUGAAUUAAUAUAUCCAUUCAAAAUGCAUUUCCCAAGUUCCAGAGUUCAGCCAGAGCACAACGCACAAGGUAGGAGAAGGAGAAAUACACAGAGUAAGCAUCCAUAUCAUUAGCAUCCACUCCUGAGCCCUGGUGGACAGAUGCACACACAGCUAUGAGCAGGUUCCUGCCCUGUUUAAGGCCGUGGGUUGUUAACUGUACACUCUACUUGCAUCCCUCAACUGGAAUUCACAGUUUGUGACAUUUAGUCGUGCAUGGACAUACAAAUGUAAACACAGUGGCAUUUUACCAAGAGGCACUCUUACGUAACAAGACAGCACUGGGAAAAAGAGUGAACAGAUGUACAAACUAAGCUUCUAUUCUGCCUAAUGAAGGUGUUUGCUGCUGCCUCUGCAUGCUGAAUUAUCUUCUCCUUUGAUAUACUGUUCUCUUCCCCCUUCCCCUCACUUUGAAAAGGCUAUUUAGCCAGGUGCCCACUAGCUCUAAGCAAUCGUGUUUCCUGGGCUGUCUGGCCAACUCUUGCUGAGGGUAGAUUUAUCCCCACCUGGUCUUUUUGGUAGCUUCUAGAAAGGUCUGAGUACCCUGUAGUUGACCUCUUCCCUGCAUGCUGACCUUCCUUGCUCACCCUUUAAAAAGUCAGUGGCCUGGUGAGAUCCCUCUUGGGAAAGGCUACAUAUUGGGUUGGCUCCCUUCCCCUGUUUCCCACUUGGGAGAAUAUUUGAGACCCCUAUGUAUUGCUCUGAUGGGUUUAAAGUUUCAGGAGCUAUAUGUCCCCUGGAAGAGGAAAUGGUGGUGGCAGGGGAAGUGGUGUGGAAAGUGGAGAAGGUAAAAGGGACAGCCUUUCCUCAUGUUUCUUUUGGUGUUUGGCCUUUCAUGGAUUCUGAGAACAUGGUCUUCACACUAAUUCACUCAUCUUCUAAGCCUACUUCCCUUCCUAACCUAUCUGAUGGGGUCAUUACAAGUACGUGAUUAGUAUAUGUAAAGCACGGCUGACUCACAGGAGAUGCUCAAAAACUAUUAGCAAUUUCAUUAUCAAAAAUUGUUUGUUUUUUCAGGUUUGGGGCUAAAUUAAUCUGUUUCUCUGUCUAAACCCUGUUAUGUAUCCAUAAUUCCAAUAAAAAUUCUUCUUGCUA